GGGGAAUAUUGCACAAUGGGCGAAAGCCUGAUGCAGCGACGCCGCGUGAAGGAUGAAGUAUUUCGGUAUGUAAACUUCUAUCAGCAGGGAAGAAAAUGACGGUACCUGACUAAGAAGCCCCGGCUAACUACGUGCCAGCAGCCGCGGUAAAACGUAGGUCACAAGCGUUGUCCGGAAUUACUGGGUGUAAAGGGAGCGCAGGCGGGAAGACAAGUUGGAAGUGAAAUCUAUGGGCUCAACCCAUAAACUGCUUUCAAAACUGUUUUUCUUGAGUAGUGCAGAGGUAGGCGGAAUUCCCGGUGUAGCGGUGGAAUGCGUAGAUAUCGGGAGGAACACCAGUGGCGAAGGCGGCCUACUGGGCACCAACUGACGCUGAGGCUCGAAAGUGUGGGUAGCAAACAGGAUUAGAUACCCUGGUAGUCCACACCGUAAACGAUGAUUACUAGGUGUUGGAGGAUUGACCCCUUCAGUGCCGCAGUUAACACAAUAAGUAAUCCACCUGGGGAGUACGACCGCAAGGUUGAAACUCAAAGGAAUUGACGGGGGCCCGCACAAGCAGUGGAGUAUGUGGUUUAAUUCGACGCAACGCGAAGAACCUUACCAAGUCUUGACAUCCUGCGACGGACAUAGAAAUAUGUUUUUCCUUCGGGACGCAGAGACAGGUGGUGCAUGGUUGUCGUCAGCUCGUGUCGUGAGAUGUUGGGUUAAGUCCCGCAACGAGCGCAACCCUUACUGUCAGUUACUACGCAAGAGGACUCUGGCAGGACUGCCGUUGACAAAACGGAGGAAGGUGGGGAUGACGUCAAAUCAUCAUGCCCUUUAUGACUUGGGCUACACACGUACUACAAUGGCGUUAAACAAAGAGAAGCAAGACCGCGAGGUGGAGCAAAACUCAGAAACAACGUCCCAGUUCGGACUGCAGGCUGCAACUCGCCUGCACGAAGUCGGAAUUGCUAGUAAUCGUGGAUCAGCAUGCCACGGUGAAUACGUUCCCG
rnacentral:rRNA from 1 species